CCCACCCCUGGAGGCCCUGCAGAUGUGGCUGCUGUGUCACAUGUGUGUCAGUAGGAGGCAGAGAGGAGAGAAGCCAUGUCUCUGCUCAGAGUUCUGAUCUAUGAACAUCUGAAUGAUUAGUAGCCCAACAUU
ensembl:snoRNA Gm24429 small nucleolar RNA SNORA17